rnacentral:rRNA from 1 species
AACGAACGCUGGCGGCAUGCCUAACACAUGCAAGUCGAACGAGACCUUCGGGUCUAGUGGCGCACGGGUGCGUCACGCGUGGGAACCUGCCCUUAGGUUCGGAAUAACUCCCCGACAGGGGUGCUAAUACCGGAUAAUGUCUUCGGACCAAAGAUUUAUCGCCUUUGGAUGGGCCCGCGUUGGAUUAGCUAGUUGGUAGGGUAAAAGCCUACCACGGCGACGAUCCAUAGCUGGUCUGAGAGGAUGAUCAGCCACACUGAGACUGGGACACGGCCCAGACUCCUACGGGAGGGAGCAGUGGGGAAUAUUGGAAAAUGGGCGAAAGGCUGAUCGGGCAAUGCCGGGUGAGUGAUGAAGGCCUUAGGGUUGUAAAGCUCUUUUACCCGGGAUGAUAAUGACAGUACCGGGAGAAUAAGCACCGGCUAACUCCGUG